AGGGUUCGAUUCUGGCUCAGGAUGAACGCUGGCGGCGUGCUUAACACAUGCAAGUCGAACGGGAUCCAUCGGGCUUUGCUUGGUGGUGAGAGUGGCGAACGGGUGAGUAAUGCGCGACCGACCUGCCCCAUGCUCCGGAAUAGCUCCUGGAAACGGGUGGUAAUGCCGGAUGUUCCACAUGAUCGCAUGUGAUUGUGGGAAAGAUUCUAUCGGCGUGGGAUGGGGUCGCGUCCUAUCAGCUUGUUGGUGAGGUAACGGCUCACCAAGGCUUCGACGGGUAGCCGGCCUGAGAGGGCGACCGGCCACAUUGGGACUGAGAUACGGCCCAGACUCCUACGGGAGGCAGCAGUGGGGAAUAUUGCACAAUGGGCGCAAGCCUGAUGCAGCGACGCCGCGUGAGGGAUGGAGGCCUUCGGGUUGUAAACCUCUUUUGUUUGGGAGCAAGCCUUCGGGUGAGUGUACCUUUCGAAUAAGCGCCGGCUAACUACGUGCCAGCAGCCGCGGUAAUACGUAGGGCGCAAGCGUUAUCCGGAUUUAUUGGGCGUAAAGGGCUCGUAGGCGGCUCGUCGCGUCCGGUGUGAAAGUCCGUCGCUUAACGGUGGAUCUGCGCCGGGUACGGGCGGGCUGGAGUGCGGUAGGGGAGACUGGAAUUCCCGGUGUAACGGUGGAAUGUGUAGAUAUCGGGAAGAACACCGAUGGCGAAGGCAGGUCUCUGGGCCGUCACUGACGCUGAGGAGCGAAAGCGUGGGGAGCGAACAGGAUUAGAUACCCUGGUAGUCCACGCCGUAAACGGUGGACGCUGGAUGUGGGGCACGUUCCACGUGUUCCGUGUCGGAGCUAACGCGUUAAGCGUCCCGCCUGGGGAGUACGGCCGCAAGGCUAAAACUCAAAGAAAUUGACGGGGGCCCGCACAAGCGGCGGAGCAUGCGGAUUAAUUCGAUGCAACGCGAAGAACCUUACCUGGGCUUGACAUGUUCCCGACGACGCCAGAGAUGGCGUUUCCCUUCGGGGCGGGUUCACAGGUGGUGCAUGGUCGUCGUCAGCUCGUGUCGUGAGAUGUUGGGUUAAGUCCCAACGAGCGCAACCCACGCCCCGUGUUGCCAGCACGUUAUGGUGGGAACUCACGGGGGACCGCCGGGGUUAACUCGGAGGAAGGUGGGGAUGACGUCAGAUCAUCAUGCCCCUUACGUCCAGGGCUUCACGCAUGCUACAAUGGCCGGUACAGCGGGAUGCGACAUGGCGACAUGGAGCGGAUCCCUGAAAACCGGUCUCAGUUCGGAUCGGAGCCUGCAACCCGGCUCCGUGAAGGCGGAGUCGCUAGUAAUCGCGGAUCAGCAACGCCGCGGUGAAUGCGUUCCCGGGCCUUGUACACACCGCCCGUCAAGUCAUGAAAGUGGGCAGCACCCGAAGCCGGUGGCCUAACCCCUUGUGGGAUGGAGCCGUCUAAGGUGAGGCUCGUGAUUGGGACUAAGUCGUAACAAGGUA
rnacentral:rRNA from 1 species